rnacentral:rRNA from 1 species
CACGUAGGGCGCAAGCGUUGUCCGGAAUUAUUGGGCGUAAAGAGCUCGUAGGUGGUUUGUUACGUCUGCUGUGAAAUCCUAGGGCUUAACCCUGGGCUUGCAGUGGAUACGGGCAGACUAGAGGUAGGUAGGGGAGAAUGGAAUUCCUGGUGUAGCGGUGAAAUGCGUAGAGAUCGGGAGGAACACCAGAGGCGAAAGCGGCGACCUGGACAGGUACUGACACUCAACUGCGAAAGCGUGGGGAGCAAACAGG